GACAAGACUCACAUAUGAUUGUUUCGUAGGAAUUCGAAUUUUUAUGGGGUUCCUCCUAGGUAUGGGAUUGCAUUUUUGGAACUAAAUGGGUUAUUUAGGAUCACAUCAUCCAAGUAAGCUUCAAGGGAUAGCUCAGGAAGUGAUUCCUCACUAUCAUCAUCAUUUAGGGGAAAUGGAUUGGGGUGAAUUUCAUAAAACU
rnacentral:lncRNA from 1 species